rnacentral:misc_RNA from 1 species
AGCAGCCGCGGUAAUUCCAGCUCCAAUAGCGUAUAUUAAAGUUGUUGCAGUUAAAAAGCUCGUAGUUGAAUUUCGGGGUUAGUAGGUUGGUCAUGCCUCUGGUAUGUACUGGUCUCACUGAUUCCUCCUUCCUGAUGAACCUUAAUGCCAUUUAUUUGGUGUUUUGGGGAAUUUGGACUGUUACUUUGAAAAAUUAGAGUGUUUAAAGCAAGCUAACGCUUGAAUACAUUAGCAUGGAAUAAUGAAAUAGGACGUUCGAUCCUAUUUUGUUGGUUUCUAGGAUUGACGUAAUGAUUAAUAGGGAUAGUUGGGGGCAUUAGUAUUCAAUUGUCAGAGGUGAAAUUCUUGGAUUUAUUGAAGACUAACUACUGCGAAAGCAUUUGCCAAGGAUGUUUUCAUUAAUCAAGAACGAAAGUUAGGGGAUCGAAGACGAUCAGAUACCGUCGUAGUCUUAACCAUAAACUAUGCCGACUAGGGAUCGGAUGAUGUUAAUUUUUAAUGACUCAUUCGGCGCUUUAAC